UUUCCGUAGGUGAACCUGCGGAAGGAUCAUUAUUGGAUUUUGAAACUUCAGGCUGCUGCUGGCUCUCCUCGGAGGGCAUGUGCACGCUUGUUGUCCAUUAUUUCUCCCACUGUGCACAAAUUGUAGACCUUUCAGUAGGCCUAUGUUGUUUUUCACAAUCUCUGAAUGUAAUAGAAUGGUUUUGAAUCUUGGGAAAUACGAUACAACUUUCAGCAACGGAUCUCUUGGCUCUC
rnacentral:misc_RNA from 1 species